rnacentral:rRNA from 1 species
CCCAGCUUGCUGGGUGGAUUAGUGGCGAACGGGUGAGUAACACGUGAGUAACCUGCCCUUAACUCUGGGAUAAGCCUGGGAAACUGGGUCUAAUACCGGAUAGGAGCGUCCACCGCAUGGUGGGUGUUGGAAAGAUUUAUCGGUUUUGGAUGGACUCGCGGCCUAUCAGCUUGUUGGUGAGGUAAUGGCUCACCAAGGCGACGACGGGUAGCCGGCCUGAGAGGGUGACCGGCCACACUGGGACUGAGACACGGCCCAGACUCCUACGGGAGGCAGCAGUGGGGAAUAUUGCACAAUGGGCGCAAGCCUGAUGCAGCGACGCCGCGUGAGGGAUGACGGCCUUCGGGUUGUAAACCUCUUUCAGUAGGGAAGAAGCGAAAGUGACGGUACCUGCAGAAGAAGCACCGGCUAACUACGUGCCAGCAGCCGCGGUAAUACGUAGGGUGCGAGCGUUAUCCGGAAUUAUUGGGCGUAAAGAGCUCGUAGGCGGUUUGUCGCGUCUGUCGUGAAAGUCCGGGGCUUAACCCCGGAUCUGCGGUGGGUACGGGCAGACUAGAGUGCAGUAGGGGAGACUGGAAUUCCUGGUGUAGCGGUGGAAUGCGCAGAUAUCAGGAGGAACACCGAUGGCGAAAGGCAGGUCUCUGGGGCUGUAACUGACGCUGAGGAGCGAAAGCAUGGGGAGCGAACAGGAUUAGAUACCCUGGUAGUCCAUGCCGUAAACGUUGGGCACUAGGUGUGGGGACCAUUCCACGGUUUCCGCGCCGCAGCUAACGCAUUAAGUGCCCCGCCUGGGGAGUACGGCCGCAAGGCUAAAACUCAAAGGAAUUGACGGGGGCCCGCACAAGCGGCGGAGCAUGCGGAUUAAUUCGAUGCAACGCGAAGAACCUUACCAAGGCUUGACAUGUUCUCGAUCGCCGUAGAGAUACGGUUUCCCCUUUGGGGCGGGUUCACAGGUGGUGCAUGGUUGUCGUCAGCUCGUGUCGUGAGAUGUUGGGUUAAGUCCCGCAACGAGCGCAACCCUCGUUCCAUGUUGCCAGCACGUAAUGGUGGGGACUCAUGGGAGACUGCCGGGGUCAACUCGGAGGAAGGUGAGGACGACGUCAAAUCAUCAUGCCCCUUAUGUCUUGGGCUUCACGCAUGCUACAAUGGCCGGUACAAUGGGUUGCGAUACUGUGAGGUGGAGCUAAUCCCAAAAAGCCGGUCUCAGUUCGGAUUGGGGUCUGCAACUCGACCCCAUGAAGUCGGAGUCGCUAGUAAUCGCAGAUCAGCAACGCUGCGGUGAAUACGUUCCCGGGCCUUGUACACACCGCCCGUCAAGUCACGAAAGUUGGUAACACCCGAAGCCGGUGGCCUAACCCUGUG